GUGCUCGCUUCGGCAGCACAUACACUAAAACUGGAAUGACACAGAGAAGAUUAACGUGGCACCUGUGCAAAGGGUGACAGGUAAAUGUUUGGUGGAUUCACCUGUGAG